CCCUUAGAUGUUCUGGGCCGCACGCGCGCUACACUGAUGCAUUCAACGAGUCUAAAACCUGCUCUGAUAGGGGUGGGUAAUCUUUUGAAUGUGCAUUGUGAUUGGGAUAGAUGAUUGCAAUUUUUCAUCUUCAACGAGGAAUGCCUAGUAAACGCAAGUCGUCAGCUUGCAUUGAUUACGUCCCUGCCCUUUGUACACACCGCCCGUCGCUCCUACCGAUUGAAUGAUCCGAUGAAUAUUAUGGAUUGAGGAUGCAAGUAGGUUAGCCUAUCUUCAUCUUCGAGAAGUGAAGUAAAUCUUAUCAUUUAGAGGAAGGAGAAGUCGUAACA
rnacentral:rRNA from 1 species